GAUGGUGCAAAAUAAAAUUUGGCUAUUGCUGAAAAUUGUUGGGGCGGGAGGGCGGUCUUUCUUUUUUUUUUUUUUUAAAUGAGAAAGUCAUUACUUGUUUACGUUUUUGCUUUCCGUUAUAUUCAACUUUAUUGUACAUACUUAAAACAUAAACCCAAAAUCAAGUCUACUAAAACACUGAGACUGAACACUGACUGAAAGGAAAAUAAUUUUCCAUAUUUAAUUCACAUAAUUGAAAUUGGUUUAAAAUAAAAUUCCAUACGACUAUGUAAUAGCCCUCCAUAAAGACAACAAUAUUUUUAAAAACUAAGCCUCUUUCACCAGGUGUAUCAAAAAUAAUAAUCAUGGUAAACAGUAUUUAAAACUAAAUCUAGUAUCGCCGGUUUAUUUAUAAUUAUUUACCGAAUUCCAACCAAUGCAUGUCACACCGUGUCAUCGGUAUUGGAGAUUGCCGGAAAUACUGUUUCUUGGGAUAUUCGGUGUGUUUCUCAGGAUAUUCGGUGUUCUAUCCGGUGUUUAUAUUGAAUGACUAUUUAAAUCUAACUAACAACUGGUCAGUAAAACCAUCAAAUCGGUAAUCCAAUUAUUAUUUUCCGGAUUAUCGAAACUACCGUAAAUGUGCUAAUAAUGACCCAGAUUCUAAGGUAUGCAUUAUGACGACUAUCGUCAUCGUAUCGUAUUCUUAGCUAUAAUUAAUUAACCUGUUCUACGGUUCAUUAUUUUAUCAAUAGGAUUUUCCAAACAAGGACCGAUUGAAGCCGGCAAUAAUGAGCCGAUUACGAUCGAAUGAUUGAAAUAUUGUCGCCAAUGACUUUUAACACGAAUCAAAUUCUAGUUUAUCAGGGGAGGUAAUUAAUAUCACGUGAUACAAAAUGGAGGUUCUUUCGAUAUCAAUAAAAAAGGCAAAUCUGCCAAACUUCGCCAUUGUUCGGAUAAAAAAGACAGCAUGUUCAUCUGAAUCAGUUUUAAUACAUUUGAAUAGAUAUACAUGUAUGGCGGAUGUAGGUACAUGCGGGAUAUUUUUUUUACGACUUGCUUGUCGAUGUGCGGGCGGGCGUUACAUAUUUAUUUUUUUUCAUCAAGACUAAUAAAUAGACUGCACGCGCAACCAAUUUUGCAUGCGGGCGGUGCCCGAGAAACAAGUUAUUUUAUUUGUGUUGCCUUACCUUGCCUCUUACUUUCAUCAUGUCCUGAGACACCAUUAAAUGUUUUUCAAUAUCAUUCAGAUCCUUUGCCAGGGAUUCAUCGAUAUCAGUCAUCCCAGUACUUCUAGAAGCAUAGCUGUGUAACCUGUGAAUUAAUCAUUUAUUUCAUUAUGUAUCAGAUACCAGAAGUGAAAGUAAGCGAUUGUUAGAAGCCACUUACAGUCGUUGUUUUUUGUAUUUUAGAGGAGAGCCGAAAAAAGCUCCCCUUAAUGAACAAAUUGAAAAAAUCGCUCCCCUAAAAAAGCUCUCCCAGUUUCGAUAAGAAGAGUGAUUUAGAAAUUAAGGAGAAUGAUCUGAUAUUAAGGAGAGUGAUUAGUUGUUUGUAUUGGAAAUGGUUCUGAAGAUCAACAACUGCGUGUAAGGGUCAUUCUUGGUUACAUAUAAACAUAGAACUAGAACACUAACGGGAACGCCCACUCGGUGACGUAUAACGGUGAUGACAUAUUUAUGUUGUACAUCGCAUGCGCGAAGUCAAUAAGGCACAAGUAACUUCCGGCCGUAUGUCAACAUGGCAGAAGCGUACGACGUCCUGGAAUUUCAAGAACUUGACGGUGUAAUAGAUCUUUUCUUUGCUAAAGAUUUGUUUGAGACAUCUCAACCUGUCGUUCCAGUAGCAUCCGCGGAACAUCCGAACAAAACACAAUUCGCGCCAGGCAUUUUGUUAGUGCGAGCAGAAACCGGAAGUAAGCUGUGCCCGAUAUCAGCGUCAGAGGCCCGCCGUCAC